UACGUAGGGUGCGAGCGUUGUCCGGAAUUAUUGGGCGUAAAGGGCUCGUAGGCGGUCUGUUGCGUCGGGAGUGAAAACUCAGGGCUUAACCCUGAGCCUGCUUCCGAUACGGGCAGACUAGAGGUAUGCAGGGGGAGAACGGAAUUCCUGGUGUAGCGGUGAAAUGCGCAGAUAUCAGGAGGAACACCGGUGGCGAAGGCGGGUCUCUGGGCCGACAUUGACGCUGAGGAGCGAAAGCGUGGGGAGCGAACAGG
rnacentral:rRNA from 1 species